rnacentral:rRNA from 1 species
UACAGAGGGUGCAAGCGUUGUUCGGAAUUAUUGGGCGUAAAGGGCGCGUAGGCGGUGCGGUAAGUCUGUGGUGAAAUCUCCGGGCUUAACUCGGAGCCUGCAGGCGAAACUGUGGUGCUGGAGUGUGGGAGAGGUGCGUGGAAUUCCCGGUGUAGCGGUGAAAUGCGUAGAGAUCUGGAGGAAUACCGAUGGCGAAGGCAGCCUUCUGGCCUAAUACUGACGCUGAGGUGCGAAAGCAUGGGGAGCAAACAGG